CCCGCACGUCUUUUGUGGUCGGAGACACCCCCUCUGCUGUCCUGGUUUCCCCAGCUCCACGUACUCAGCGCUGCAAACUUGCAGCUCAUUUGCUCUCCAGAUGUCUAGGGAGUGCCUACUAAGGUGCUGGGCGCUGUGGACACACCGGGGGAGCAAGGGAGGUCCCCAAAGCCGCUCAAUGUAUUAAUUUCUGUGUGCCACCUACAGCCGCUUGGUUUGUCCUUAGGGUCCAGUAACUGAACAGAAAUGACAGACAUCAAACAAACAACCUGGAAACGUGGAAAAAGAGGGGGAAAGAACAAAGGGAGGGCAAAAUUACCCCUCAUCCCACAUCCCUGACGACACUGAGGGGUUUGUCCUUCCAGCUGCGGGAGUCCAAUUUAUUUCUUUCAAGGACUGUCCUCCCUUUCUGCUCACAUCGGUCCCCUACCCUCUGCUCUCUGAUUUUCUUCGCAUUCAUUUCUUCCCUUUAACGUCGCGCCAGCUUCAGGCAAAGCAGUUCAGGAUGAUGCCAAAGCGAAAUGAGAUCGCCAAGCUCCGGAUGCCAGCCUGAGGCGCCUUACGCUCUAGAUUAGAUUAAAUCCUAAAUCCAACAACGGGUGCCCUUAUAAGAGAAAGACGAGGGAUACCUGGACGCAAAGCAACACAAGGAGAAGGCCAAGUAAAGAUGGAGGCAGAGACUGGAGUAAUGCGUGUGCAAGUCAAGAAAUACCAGGGAUUACCAACCACCAGCAGAACCUGGAAGAGUCAACAAAAGAUUGUUCCCUAGAGCCUUCAGAAGAAGCAUAGUCUUACUGACAUCUUCAUUUUGGACCUUUAGCCUCCAAAACUGUGAGAGAAUAAGCUUCUAUUCCAGCUCACAGGAAACAUCCUGACCAGGCCCACCCAUGAGUGACUGCAGGAAGAAAUUAACUUAUCUCCUCUGGAGGCUGAUCGGAAUCAGGAAAUGUUUGAAAUUACUUCCUCCCCUUUUAGUAUAAAAGAAGCCUAAAUUCUAACUCAGGCAAGAGGGUUCUUUGCGACAAAGUCCACCAUCUUUUCUGUUUGCUGACUUUCCAAAUAAAGUCACUAUUCCUUACCC
ensembl:lncRNA